rnacentral:rRNA from 1 species
CGUACACUCCUGCGGGAGGCAGCAGUGGGGAAUUUUGGACAAUGGGCGAAAGCCUGAUCCAGCCAUGCCGCGUGCAGGAUGAAGGCCUUCGGGUUGUAAACUGCUUUUGUACGGAACGAAACGGCCUUUUCUAAUAAAGAGGGCUAAUGACGGUACCGUAAGAAUAAGCACCGGCUAACUACGUGCCAGCAGCCGCGGUAAUACGUAGGGUGCAAGCGUUAAUCGGAAUUACUGGGCGUAAAGCGUGCGCAGGCGGUUAUGUAAGACAGUUGUGAAAUCCCCGGGCUCAACCUGGGAACUGCAUCUGUGACUGCAUAGCUAGAGUACGGUAGAGGGGGAUGGAAUUCCGCGUGUAGCAGUGAAAUGCGUAGAUAUGCGGAGGAACACCGAUGGCGAAGGCAAUCCCCUGGACCUGUACUGACGCUCAUGCACGAAAGCGUGGGGAGCAAACAGGAUUAGAAACCCCGGUAGUCCCAUGA